AGUGACACCUUCGCCGAAAAAGUCGCCCAAAUCGUUUUCUGUUAAGUCAAAACUCAAGUUUCCAACAUGAGCUGUAAAAGGGGGUUCAGAAGGGAUGGGAAUGGCAUCACGUUGGUAACCACUUCCCAUUCCACCCUCGCGACGGCUUUCGGGAGGACUUCUAACUGACUCAAACGUGGAAGAAGGAGCAUUGUAUCCGGCGUCAGCAGAGCUAGGAGUAGCACGAUACGUAGAUGUGGUGCGGUCUUGGGCUAAUAGAUAAAUUGAGUUAGCUAAGCAAUUUCAAAAGAUUAAAUAGAAAAAUGAUGGAGCCCAAAAAUGAGAGCCGAAAAUUAAUAGAAAUUUUCGGAUUCCUAAAAAACACCCCACUCCAAUUCAAUCCAAAAUUUUCCAUUAUAAAAAACAAAAUACUUACGCAAAGCUGGCAAAUCAUCAAUAUCAUCAGCCCAGUUAGUCGAACCAAACGACUCGUCACCCAAAAAGGCGUUCAAACUCAUUUUCGUACUCUGAUAUCGUUCAGCAAACAUGCCUAAUUACCUAAACAAACCUUUUUCGGACCUAUUAUUAAUAACUCAUGAUCAAAAACACAACUUGCCCAUUAUGAAAUAUUUUCUUUUAGAUCUUCACUUUUUACUAACAAGAUCGUUUUCUUCGUCGUUCUCGACAGAUUUAAUAUUUGCGAUUCUUGGCGCGCUGGUCCACAAGAGCGUAGCCCAGUGAUGCCGUGACUGCUCAAUAGUAGAACGACUGAAGCAUUCCCGCCUGCUGUAUUUGCUAAGGCGAGAAAAAGGGAGAAUUGGGAGACGUCUCUAUUCCUCACAGUCAUGGAUAAUGAGGAUUAAAUCAUUUCGGUAAAUCAAGCAUGGAGGAAUUUUUGUGAAUGUGAGCAUUAUAAUCGCAUAACGAUAAGUAGCGUGUUGAGCAAAGAGGAUUGGAUGGAAGUAGUUUUUUUAUUGUAAAUAAAUCAAUGGAAAAUUGGAUAUGGAACCAUUGUAGCGUUUGCAAUUUGAUGGAA